rnacentral:rRNA from 1 species
UGGGGAAUAUUGGACAAUGGGCGAAAGCCUGAUCCAGCAACGCCGCGUGAGGGAUGACGGCCUUCGGGUUGUAAACCUCUUUCAGCAGGGACGAAGCGAAAGUGACGGUACCUGCAGAAGAAGGACCGGCCAACUACGUGCCAGCAGCCGCGGUAAUACGUAGGGUCCGAGCGUUGUCCGGAAUUAUUGGGCGUAAAGGGCUCGUAGGCGGUCCGUCACGUCGGGAGUGAAAACUCAGGGCUCAACCCUGAGCGUGCUUCCGAUACGGGCGGACUAGAGGUAUGCAGGGGAGAACGGAAUUCCUGGUGUAGCGGUGGAAUGCGCAGAUAUCAGGAGGAACACCGGUGGCGAAGGCGGUUCUCUGGGCAUUACCUGACGCUGAGGAGCGAAAGCAUGGGGAGCGAACA